rnacentral:rRNA from 1 species
UACGUAGGGUGCGCGCGUUGUCCGGAAUUAUUGGGCGUAAAGAGCUCGUAGGCGGUUUGUUGCGUCGGCUGUGAAAUCCCGAGGCUCAACCUCGGGUCUGCAGUCGAUACGAGCAAACUAGAGUGUUGAAGGGGAGACUGGAAUUCCUGGUGUAGCGGUGAAAUGCGCAGAUAUCAGGAGGAACACCGGUGGCGAAGGCGGGUCUCUGGGCAACAACUGACGCUGAGGAGCGAAAGCGUGGGGAGCGAACAGG